AUGAUCAUAACUCAGUUGUUUUCAUAUCAGAGCACAGAUGAGGUGGAGCUGCUUCAGAACAGAGAGGGUGAGAUAGGGAAAAGCAGCAGCAGCACAACGUUACAGAGAACAGAUGAGGUGAAGCUGCUUAAAGACAGGGAGGGUGAGACAGGGAGAAGUAGCUCAGAGUUGCAGGUGAGACAGGGAACAGGCGCAAGCGAAGAAGUGCAGGUAGGCAGGCAGGAUGCUGAACCCAACCAUGCUAACCCAAAGCUCAUUGCAGUGCAGCAGAAUUUAUCAUUAUAAACAACUUAAUUAUUUCCUGGAUCACCAUAGUCCCUAACUGUAUGUAAAUGGAGGAAAUGGGAUUCAAAUCAAAAACAUUUUUCCCCAUUUUGUGUCCCCCCCACUUCUCAAACCAAAGUUACACCCUUGAUAAAGAAUAUCUUUGGAUUUGAGACUUUAGUCUUUGCAACUUCACAGAUCUUCUUUAUGCACCAAGAGCUUGUAUCACUCCAAAGAGAAAUCGCAUCAUAUGACCCCUUUAAUAAAGAAUUACACAUUCCCGGUUCAUUAACAAUUCCAUGAGCACUUCUUUUAUUACUUUCAAGAAAUAAAUAUAUAUAUUUUUUUAUAUAAAACAAAAUCCAUUCAUUGCUAAAUUAUGAGACAAUUUCAAUAAUUAUUAAAUUUAAAACUGUUCUUGGCAAGUUUUGUUGACAUGUUACAUACACUAGUGUUGGGUGAUAUGCUCCAUAGUCAUAUCGUCCAAUCGUCAGCCUGUGAUAUACACAAUAUUAUCAUGCUAAUUCAUUUAAUUAUUUACUUAGUUUCAUAGCUGUAGAGGGAACCAACUCCAGGGUCGUCAAACUUUAAUUGGAAGGAUUUUUAUUGAUUCCCCACCUCCUGAGUGUAAUAAAAAAUAAGCUUCUGUUUCAUAAACUUGGUACUGAUAAAAGUUUUGCAAAUAUCUUAGCCUACCUUUGGGGUCUUUGCUAUUAUAUUCCAAAAUCAUUAUGCCUCUACUAGCUAGUUAUAGAUUAAGAGCUGUUGUUUUAGUACAUAUGGCUUGCUGCUGUGUUUAAUAAUUUAUGUUGUUAAAAUAACGUAUGUUCCAUUAAUGCAUUGUUUGCUGGUUUAUUUCGCUGUUUUUCAGUACACCACAUUAAAUAUGGAACUUAGUACUGUAAGACUUUGAAUUAAUAAUGGGUGUGUUAGAUUUUAGUGUGUAAAUAAUCAAGCAUUGACAAUAAUCAGUCAUAUUGGCGACACCGAGGGGCCCCAGAAGCUUUAUAUCACAUUUCCGGAGCUCUGUUCUUUUAAUAGAUCGACAUCUCUGCGGAGAGCCGAUGUAUGAUGUGCUGCUCUCCUCCACUCGUCUUCCUGGCUGUCACAUAAUUUCAGCUUGAAUUCUAAUGAGUGUUUUGUCUAUUGAAUUGGUGGCAUAUGUUUUGUUCCAACACUUGAGUUCAGCUACAGUGUUUUUAGUCUUCAAAACAUUAGCAGAAUCAAUAGAAACUCCAUAUUUUUCAGAGAGACAUGCAUCUGAGGCCUUCUGGUGAAGUUGUUUUGCUGAGCCAGGUGUUUUUAAAAUGUGUUUGGAAGUUGGUGUGAGGUAAAAACAUUUUCUCAGUGAGGCAGAAGAAUGUAAUGGCGGAGGGUAAAGAAGGAUCUUUGUGCACUUUGAUAAAUUACCAGUUGUUUGUAGCCAUUGAUUUGCCUUUUGUGCAUGAAACUCCAAUAAAGAACCACAAAUGAAGCUUAGAACAAAGCAGUUAACUCUAAACAGCCACAGAUGCUUUCUUUACUAGUUAUUAGUUUUAACAGCAUCAAAAAGGACUCUGCUCAUUUGAGAAUGUGUUUAGAAACAGUAAAAGCACAGGUCAGGAAGAUCCGAUCCAAAUCCAUCAAUCCCCACGAGCUCAUGUUUAGACUAAUAGGAAGAAUGGAGUAUUGCAUGACAUAUUUUACACCUUUGUAGCCAUAAAUCUUGAAAAGAUGUAAUAUGCCAAAGACAGCUUUGAUAUUUACAACCCCAUAUCGUUAAUUCAAAUGACCUUAAAUAAAAAUACAGAUUACACAAGCGUCUCUUGAAGCAGUUGACCUUUUUUUAACCUGUAUAUAUGAAUCUUUGUAUAUUAAAUUGAUGUUUUGAGGCAUCUUGGCCGAGACUGAGCUUUGUACCUUAUAAAAUAGUGUCACCUACAGGUGUACUUGUGAAAUGGCCCAUGUUCCAUAGUAAAGAAUGCCUCCAUCUGCUGGUGACUGAUUGUAGUAUGUUUCAGGGCAUUUGUUUUGACCUUUUAGGAGGUCAAGGAGCUCUUAAUGGGUAGAUUAAUUAUUAAAUCAAGUGUUUGCACUUCACUGAGGCAAUGAAAUAUUUAAUGUAUCUUUAGCUUCUUUAGAACAACAACAUGGUUCAGUCAUUACACACCACAAUACAUUUUUAAAAGUAUUCAAAGAAGGAACUGCUUCCAGGAAUUGCAACCUACAUUGCUGUACGGCAAACAAUGGUGAGUAUGUGAGCAGGCAUUUGUUAUAAAUCACAAUGCACCAUACAGACAUCAUCCAGACGUUUUAGUAAAUAUAAAGAAGCAUGAAUGUAAAUAACAUCACCAUAAUCUAAAUUGGGUAAAAAAAAAAACUUUUAUAUGGGUAAAAAUAGCUUUGCAGAUGUUAUUUCCUUGCCUAAAUCAUUAAUAAAAAUAGCAGAAAAUAAGUGGUGCCAGUAAAGAACCUUGUGAGACAACCUUCUUGAUUGAUAAGGUGUAAUUAUCUACAGAAACACACUGAGUUCUAUCCGAUAAAUAGUUUUUAAAACCAGCUCAAGGUCAUAUUACUGAGGCCUAUACUUUUAAACCUCUGUAACAGUAAGGCAUGAUUAUUAUUUAUCAAAGAUUUAAACACUUUAACCAGUAGUCUAGAAAUAGGGCGAUAAUUAUUCAAAUCGGAGGGAUCUCCUCCUUUUAGUAAAGGUAUAACCAUAGCUGGUUUCCAAGACGGUUGAUAAUCUCAGAUUAAGAAUCUACACAAUAGGUUCGGCAAUUACAUCUGCAGAAACUUUUUUAAAAAACUAGAUGAAUUUUUCAGACCCACCGUAUUUCUUAAAAUCUAAAUCUGACAGCCAUUUAUUAACUUGGGCAAUAUAGGGGUAAUGUUAAAAAUUUGUUUUACUAAAAUAAGUCUACUCAUCAAUUCCCUGUCCAUCAUUGUCCAUUGAAUUGCUGGUGUCUUUUAUCGAACUGGCAGAAAUAAAAUGUCUAUUAAACAUAUUAACACUAUUAACCUCGUCUGUAAUUAAUCUUUGGGUAACACUUUAUAAUAACUUUAAUUAGCCUAAUAAAUCAUUAACAAACAUUACAUAAUGUUUAACAGAUCAUUAGUUAUUAUAGAUUCAUAGCCUAGCUAGAAAUGUGAGAUCAUGUUCUUGUUAAUGCAUACCAAUGAACUUACUAAACAUUUCCUAAUGAUUAACAUAUGAUUAUUUAAUGUAAAUUGAAAUGCUUACAAAUGUCAGUAAACUUUCAGUUCUGAUCUUCGUUGGUCUCUGUUUGUUGUGUAGACCUCUGUUUACAUAGAUUAACAAAUAAUCUAUUAAUUAUUUAUUUAUGUUUUUGCAGUACCCAAUCUAAAGUGGAAACUAGUCAUUAUUUGUAAAUUUUUAAACAUUUACUAAUCAUUAAUACCUUUAUGAGCAAUCAUCUCAAUGGCAAAAAGUGUCCCGAAAGACCUGAAUUUACCCUAAUCACACAUCUUUACUAAUCAUUUAUUAAUCAUUUGUUCAUGUUUUUGCAGUAGUCAAUCUAAAGUUGAAACUAUUCAUCAUUUGUAAAUGUUUAUAAAUGAUUCCUAAUCAUUUAGUAUCUUUAUAGGCUUUGGACUUUUGUAACAAGGUUUGUGUAAAGGGUGGCUGGUUAAGUUUAGCUAAAUGCUUGCUAAAGACAUAACAGGUUGUAAUUUUGGUGCAAAACAAAAAUGUUUUUAUUGCCUCAAUGCUCACAUUAUACUACAUUUAGUCAUUAUACUACUCUUCAGUAUAUAAUUAAACAGGAUAUUCCUUGAAUCAUAAAUAAACAGGGGGAAACAAAUAUUUUUUUAAAAAGAAAAUACUUUUUUUUUUAUCAAACAACAAUAUAAUAUGAACAGAUUGAACUGUGUUCCCUUAUAAUAAUCAAAUUGGUCCCUGUACACUGUUGAUCCUUAAAACAGACCCAUUAACCUACCCAUACCACCAAACCUGUUCCUAACCUUGCCCGUAUCACACCUCAAUAACAGAAAAAGUGUUGUGCAUAAACACAAGCUUUUUGUUACAGUACAGAUGGGUCGGAGACAGAAGAUCACAGGUAAGGUGGUAUUUAUUGACAUAAGCAGAGAUGGGAUGAGAAACAGUGGUAAAUCGGUGAUUGCAGAGAGUGAGUAAACUGAAUACUGUCCUUGUGAUGAUGUAGGGUGAAGGUCCUGGAAGUAGCAGAAGAGUGGAGACGUUGAGGGCUGAAGACACACACACUCACGAAAGACACAGGAGGUAACUGGGAAUCACUGGAGACAGGUAGGUAUAGCAAUGGAAGUCCUUGAAGUCGGCAGAUAGGUAUUCCUAGUUGCGAACGAGACCGGACAGUGACUGUGUGUGUGUGAGUGUCUUUUAAGUGUUGGUGGAUGAUGGUGCUGACGAGGGGCAGGUGUGUGUGAUCAGUACUCAGGUGAGGGAGUGCGCUGUGGUUGGAUGGGGUUGGAGCCUGGCGUGUCUAUGACACUUUUAAUCAUUGUAUAAUAUCUGUCAAAAUCAUUUGAAGAUUUUCAAUAAGUGCUUGAUCAUAUGGAAUUGAAAGUUUAAUGACAUAUGUAAGCAAUUAUUUGUUUGAACAUGAUCUAAUGUUUAAUAAUUAGUUAACAUUAACAAGCACAUUAUCUCAUGUUUCGAACUCUUGUACAGGUUUAAAAAUGAAAAAAAUGAAAAGCACUUGAGCAGGUUUAAAAAUGAUCUGAUUUAGAUUUGUCCUGAGAAUAUUAACAAUACAAUAUAUUAGCCAUAUAGAAUUUAAAAAAUAUAUACGUUUAACAUGUCUAUGUAUGUGCAUUGAAUAUGUCUCUUAGCAACAAGCCUGCACAAUUGUGAGUGGUUGUAUCUUGUUCAACAAAUCCUACAAGUUGCCAGAAGGCAUUUGAGAGAAAUGUUCUCUGCUCUCUUCUGUUCAUCUCUGAAUGGCCCAGGGCUGUCUGCAUGAAGACUGCUCAUUAGCACCUGG
ensembl:lncRNA